rnacentral:tRNA from 1 species
GAGGUGUUAGUAAAACCAUUACAUAGCCUUGUCAAGACUAAAUCACUGGUGAGACCCCAGUACACCUCA